GUUGGAUCAUCAAUAGAAUGUAUAGGUGUCUCCCUUUAAGAAAUAAUUAAUCCUCUUCUGAUAUUUAGAUCAAGUAUAUCUUGGUGGAAUUUUGUGAUAAGCAUAAGAUGGUGGUUUUAACUCUGAACGAUUUGACUUAGAUCCCAGUGUAAGUCCCCUCCAUAGUUUGAUACCCUAGAAUUUGUCAAAUCGCAACCAAACUUUAUAUCACCUCUAUAUAACUUUUAGACUACUUCAAUAGUAAAUAGUAACA